CUGCUGCCUUCCGUAGGAGUCUGGACCGUGUCUCAGUUCCAGUGUGGCCGAUCACCCUCUCAGGUCGGCUAUGCAUCGUUGCCUUGGUAAGCCGUUACCUUACCAACUAGCUAAUGCAGCGCGGAUCCAUCUAUAAGUGACAGCAAGACCGUCUUUCACUUUUGAACCAUGCGGUUCAAAAUAUUAUCCGGUAUUAGCUCCGGUUUCCCGAAGUUAUCCCAGUCUUAUAGGUAGGUUAUCCACGUGUUACUCACCCGUCCG
rnacentral:rRNA from 1 species